AGUGAACGCUGGCGGCAGGCCUAACACAUGCAAGUCGAACGGCAGCACAGAGGAGCUUGCUCCUUGGGUGGCGAGUGGCGGACGGGUGAGGAAUGCAUCGGAAUCUGCCUAUUUGUGGGGGAUAACGUAGGGAAACUUACGCUAAUACCGCAUACGUCCUACGGGAGAAAGUGGGGGACCUUCGGGCCUCACGCAGAUAGAUGAGCCGAUGCCGGAUUAGCUAGUUGGCGGGGUAAAGGCCCACCAAGGCGACGAUCCGUAGCUGGUCUGAGAGGAUGAACAGCCACACUGGAACUGAGACACGGUCCAGACUCCUACGGGAGGCAGCAGUGGGGAAUAUUGGACAAUGGGCGCAAGCCUGAUCCAGCCAUGCCGCGUGUGUGAAGAAGGCCUUCGGGUUGUAAAGCACUUUUGUCCGGAAAGAAAAGCGCUCGAUUAAUACUCGGGUGUUAUGACGGUACCGGAAGAAUAAGCACCGGCUAACUUCGUGCCAGCCGCCGCGGUAAGAC
rnacentral:rRNA from 1 species